rnacentral:lncRNA from 1 species
GCCUUACCAAUUUUCUCUUGAGAUCGCCUUCUAAGGGUAGGGGAUUUUGAUUUCCUUGCUUGAUCUUGAGACUUACUUCUUUUGGAUGGGCUUUUAGAUUUUUUCCUCUCCUUUGACUUGCUCCUAGUUGUUUUCUCUUUAACGAUUUCAAUACCCCCCUUACUUUUCUUUUUAUCAGACCUAUGUCUAGUCCGUUCUUUGGAUCUGCUUUUACUUCGUUUCUUUGUAGUAAUUUUAUUGUCCACAAGUUCAAGUUUCCCCUUUGUACUUGAAGAUCUAGUACUAGACCUAUUUCCAUUUCUUGCCUUUUCAUGAAUUUCC